rnacentral:rRNA from 1 species
CGCCAGACUCCUACGGGAGGCAGCAGUGGGGAAUAUUGCACAAUGGGGGGAACCCUGAUGCAGCGACGCCGCGUGAGCGAUGAAGUAUUUCGGUAUGUAAAGCUCUAUCAGCAGGGAAGAAAAUGACGGUACCUGACUAAGAAGCCCCGGCUAACUACGUGCCAGCAGCCGCGGUAAUACGUAGGGGGCAAGCGUUAUCCGGAUUUACUGGGUGUAAAGGGGGCGCAGACGGCGAUGCAAGCCAGGGGUGAAAGCCCGGGGCCCAACCCCGGGACUGCCCUUGGAACUGCAUGGCUGGAGUGCGGGAGGGGCAGGCGGAAUUCCUGGUGUAGCGGUGAAAUGCGUAGAUAUCAGGAGGAACACCGGCGGCGAAGGCGGCCUGCUGGACCGCGACUGACGUUGAGGCCCGAAAGCGUGGGGAGCGAACAGGAUUAGAUACCCCAGUAC